UGCAUUUUGGCCCUGUCACUCAAAAAUAUGAGUUAAUUUAACUUAUUUUCCUUCAAAAUGCAUAAACUUAAUAUUUCAAGUCUUGUGAACUCAAAAUCAUGAUUAAUCCUUUGGAAAAACUCAACAUCACUCUGUUCUUCCUUUAAUGUGAUUGGCCAUGCAAGGAAUUCUGCCUAGCAACAAGUGAACAAAAGCACUGAUUGGUGGAUUACAAAAUUGGUCCUUUUAGCCUCGUCUGUUCGGUAGGCAGCUGAUACCACAUUGAUUUCAAGACGGACGUUUUUCUUCGUGUACUAUGUUCGGUGACAUGAGAUAAGGAGAUGUGGAAAUGUUUGCAUGGAGUUCACCAGAAUUACAGACAAAAAUCUACAGCAGGAAUUCUAUGAAAACCUGGACAGACAGUUCACGGUUCAUGGACCUUUUUAAAACCAGAAGGGGGACUCCUGUCAGACCAGCCAACUGAGGUCCGAACCCUUGUUCUUCGAGGACUGACUAUCAUGCUGGGAAAUGAAGACUCUUCUUUCUUCAAGUCAUGUUUAGUGUCUGAUCAUUGCAAUACUAUCCUUGAUGUGCCAGUGGGGAUCUUAUUCGAGCACACUGAUCUUCAGCCCCCAAACUCCUUGCAUUUGAAUAAUUUCUGAAGGCCAAGUGGUGAUGGACAAAAUGCAGGACCUCCCACAGGCAAUCUUUCUUCUGUUCGGUUUGAUUUAUGCACUAGACGUGAAUUAC